CUCUAGGAGCAGAGCACCGAGGUGCCCUGCAACAGACAGUUCUGGAUACUAGAUACCAAGUCCCGUUCCUGCCCCUCGGUGUAGUUCGUCAUCCUCUACAGCUUGAAUCUCGAUGGUGAAGACCCAACAAAGCCUAAGGACUCUUCAGGCAUUUUCCCUAACGUCCCUUUGGACUCCAGAGGAAUUUCGGUCAGCAGAACACAAUGGCUGCAGAUGGACCCUGGCCUUCAGUACUCUUACACCACCAAAAAGCAGCACUGGAAGCUUCUUCAUGAAUGCAAGUGGCCAGAGCCUGGUCUCUUAUCCUGUCCCAGAGCUGUGGUCGCUCCAGCAGUGCCCUGAUUUUUUUUCCAACUCGGAAGGAAGAGCAUCUCAUUGACUCAUCCAUGCUACUUCCCUAAGUCACCUCCUAACUACGCAGCAGUUUCUCACCUCAGCCUUGAACCUGUUUAUCCCUUGAG